AAGUGACAACGCUUCAUAGUGAAGGCGCGCAUUUGCUGAGUGUGAAGCUUUAUCGACUCACGACCUAGAACUUGUCGGAAAAGAGGUAGCCAAAAAAAAAAAAACAUACACCCACUCACACAAAUACCUUUUUCUUUCGCCCUUGAGUGCUUCUGCUGUUGCACUUUUCCGACCCUUUCUCCGCGCUACAACAUACACGCACACAGGUGCCGAAAGCACUAGUUUCCGGCGCCUGCUCUUUUGUUGUUUGAGGAAAGGCGACGAAGGAAUCCUCUCCUUUCUUUUGAAAGUUGCGGAGCCUUUGCUUUGAACAAACUCUGUCCCUGAAGCAUUACAAAUGUCUUCGUUUGGCCGUGCUACCGCCCGCAGCGGCGACGCUGGGACCCGUGACAGCCUUGACCGGUACAAUCGCUUGGAUGUUUUGGGAGAGGGAACGUACGGCGUUGUGUAUCGCGCGGUCGACAAAAUCACUGGGCAGUACGUUGCUCUCAAGAAAGUGCGACUUGAUCGCACUGAGGAGGGCAUUCCACAAACUGCGCUGCGCGAGGUGUCGAUUCUACAAGAGUUCGACCACCCUAACAUUGUGAACUUGCUUGAUGUCAUUUGCUCGGACGGGAAGCUCUACCUUGUCUUCGAGUAUGUGGAGGCGGACCUGAAAAAGGCGAUUGAAAAGCAAGAGGGUGGCUACUCUGGGAUGGAUCUGAAGCGGCUUAUUUAUCAGCUUUUAGACGGCCUUUACUUUUGCCACCGCCAUCGCAUCAUCCACCGUGAUCUGAAGCCAGCCAACAUCCUCCUGACAUCAGGGAACGUCCUUAAAUUGGCUGAUUUCGGCCUCGCCCGCGCGUUCCAAGUGCCCAUGCACACCUACACGCACGAGGUGGUUACGCUGUGGUACCGUGCCCCCGAGAUCCUCCUCGGUGAGAAGCACUACACUCCUGCCGUGGAUAUGUGGAGUGUCGGCUGCAUUUUCGCCGAGCUAGCGCGCCGAAAAGUUCUUUUCCGCGGCGAUAGCGAAAUUGGGCAGUUGUUUGAAAUUUUUCAAGUGCUGGGGACGCCGACGGACACCGAGGGGUCCUGGCCUGGUGUGUCGCGGCUGCCCGACUACCGCGACGUAUUUCCCAAGUGGACGGCAAAGCGACUGGGGCAGGUACUACCAGAACUUCAUCCGGACGCUAUUGAUCUUCUCUCCAAGAUGCUCAAGUACGAUCCGCGGGAGCGCAUAUCAGCCAAGGAGGCCCUCCAGCACCCGUGGUUCAGCGACCUUCGCUGGUAGAGUGAAAAGGGCAUGACUGAAUACAGUCUGCUGACGCGUCGGACUAUGGAGGAUUUGUUUCUCUGAGGGUGCUUUGCUGAGGAGGCUCCUACUUGCUUUUCUUGACUCUUACUUAGACUUGACGCUUUCAGUUUUUCCUGUUUUGACUCUCCACCCUUUAGAUCUUUCUCCUACACAUGCAUACAUACACUUUUUCUCUCGCUCUUCCACAACGACAUUACCACCGUGCCCCUGUCUUUUCCACUAUCUGGCCCUUUUUCAGUUGCGAAACAGAUUUGGUCGUGUCUUUUUUUUUCGUUCUAGCUCAGAUCUUCGGCCCUUAGUUGUACUAUGAACUUUCGCAAAAAGAUGCCUAAUAUGCAGCAACUCUACAUACAGAUCGGGUUUCUCCUAGAACAUGUGUCCUCUUUCGCUGCUUUAUGCCUUCGAGUAGAGACUUCAGCUCCUUU
rnacentral:misc_RNA from 1 species